UUCAGAAUUUAUUUUAAACUUAGAAUUUAGGAUGAUUCACGUCGAAUAAAGAGAAUGAAUUUAUUUAAUUCUAACAAAAAUGAUUUACAAAACUUUUGUAAAUUUGAAUUAUUUUAAAUUUUUAAACAUUUCAUUUUUAUUUAAGUUGAGCAUUCGAAAAAAUAUGACGAGCUGUUUUUAUAAUCAAAACCUUGAAGUAUUUUUAGAGAUCUAUUUAUCAAGCAAGAAGAUUUUUUAAUCGUCGUAUCAUCCAACACAUUUUCACAAUAACUCCCUCCUACCUAAUUAGCCUUUCAUUCAACACUCACGACCAUCACUGUUCAUUUCUGCAAAGGCCAUACUCACUGCAGCCUCACAAUUCAUUAUUUUUCUCCUCACAAGAAGGCUAAGCGCAGAGCACUUCACAAUUCAUUUGUACAACCACCAUCAAUUCAAGCAUCCAUAAGGUUAUCUUCUCAACUUUAAACAUAUUCAUACUUACUACUUGAAUAUACAUUUUCAAGCCAUUUCUUUUAGAAUUCAAGAAAAUCAAAGCUUUUCCCCAAAAUACCAACAUCAGUAAAAAGCACCUCAUAUAUCAUUCCACCAAGCCAAACUUGAGGAGAGUCUAGAGCGGCGGUAGUGGCAUGGUAGCUAUAUUGUCGCCGGAAAAAUCGAGUGGUGUAGAGAGGAGAGGGUGGCGUCUGAUUUUGGGAGCCUAGGGCAGUUGCAGAGGGCGGCACCGCCGAUUGAGAUACGGGCGGCGGCUGGUGCCAAGAGUAGAAGGAGAGGAGAGAGAGUGGAGGGUGCCGGUGAUGGUGGCUUAGAUGCUGUCGCCGGAAGGACGAGAGAGUCGGUGGUUCCAAGGAGGCUAGGUCAGGCGGCGGUGGCUGGUUCCAGCUGCUGCGGCCACUGACUUCUGUAGGCAGGGAAACGAGGGAGAAGAAGACGGGGCGAGGGAGAGGGCCGAUCGUCGGCUCUUCAUCGGAGGAGGAGCCACGGCGGCGGAUUUUAGAGGGGGCGGACGGAUUGCUGGUGAGAAAGGGAGAGAGAGUUUGAGAUGAGGGGGAACGGCUGAUGUGUUGAAGAAGAAAGGGGUAAGGCUUUCUGGACCAAGGGGAUUAGCGCUGCUUUUCCAAGACAAAUUGUAUGAUUAUGUUCUUCAGGCUUUGCCUAACCAGGUGGGCUUACUUUCCAAAUGUAUAAAGUAUGAUUGAGUUAUUAAGCUCUAAAUGUUUCAAUGAAUUGCAAACUGUUUAUUUAAUGAAAUGCAAACUAUUUAUCCAAUAAAAUGUUUAUGUGCACUCUGCUCUGUUUAAGGCUCGCAAAGUUAAUCAAUUGAGGUUCUCUUAUGACCUAACACAUUGUUUGAGAAUUGUGUAUACUCGUUAGCUGACCUGGUGGGUUGAUCUUCAUCGGGCACUAACUAAGAGGCGUUAUAAGGGUGCUUGUUGGAUGUGUUCCGAAGCAUGUAAUGUAAGGCAUGUCUGGGUAGCGUUCCGAGAUCAAUUCAAUUUGUCUGAGUUACGUCCUCAACGCAAGUGCAAUGGGAGAAAUGGAUCUGUCGCUGGUUAAAAGGUCCGGGAUCACAGCGAGUAACGAAAAAGGAGUGUGACAUGUGCGCACAAAUAAAAGAAAUUAUUUUAACAUGCUUAGAAGUUCUUUCAAUUUAAAACCUUCUAAGUUAUGUCAAUUAUAAUUGGAUAAACUGUCUUUAUGAAAAUAUGAAAUGUUUAUGAAAAUGUUUACCCACUGAGUAUAUUAGUAUUUAGCCCAAAAAUACUUUUAAAUAUUUUCAGGUUGGCUGGCCGGUGCUGAAGGGACUAAGCUGAGGCUAUGGUUCAAUUUCCUAUUUAGACUUCCGCUAUAGCAAUAACUCUUAUCUGUCUUUUGUUUUCUCAAUUUAAGACUUUCAUGUUAGAUUUAGAAUGACAUAUCUAUUCGAACUUAAACACUUAGCUCCUAGUCUUAUGCUAAUAAAUACUAGUUGUCAGAAGCAUGAAACAAAACUUGUGAUCCAAAGGGGACUAGCCCGACUUGUUAUCUUAUUAUUCGGGUUCAAUGAAGAUUUUCGCUUAUGUUAUUUCUAUAAAA